CCUACGGGUGGCAGCAGUGAGGAAUAUUGGUCAAUGGGCGGGAGCCUGAACCAGCCAAGUCGCGUGAGGGACGACGGUCCUAUGGAUUGUAAACCUCUUUUGUCGGGGAACAAAGGCGCCCACGGGUGGGCGGAUGAGUGUACCCGAAGAAAAAGCAUCGGCUAACUCCGUGCCAGCAGCCGCGGUAAUACGGAGGAUGCGAGCGUUAUCCGGAUUUAUUGGGUUUAAAGGGUGCGUAGGCGGUUUGAUAAGUUAGAGGUGAAAUGUCGGGGCUCAACCCCGAAACUGCCUCUAAUACUGUUGGACUAGAGAAUAGUUGCGGUAGGCGGAAUGUAUGGUGUAGCGGUGAAAUGCUUAGAGAUCAUACAGAACACCGAUUGCGAAGGCAGCUUACCAAACUAUAUCUGACGUUGAGGCACGAAAGCGUGGGUAGCAAACAGGAUUAGAUACCCCAGUAGUC
rnacentral:rRNA from 1 species